rnacentral:rRNA from 1 species
AAAGUUGGUUGUGAAAUCCCGGAGCUUAACUCCGGAACUGCAAUCAAAACUUUUUAGCUAGAGUAUGAUAGAGGAAAGCAGAAUUUCUAGUGUAGAGGUGAAAUUCGUAGAUAUUAGAAAGAAUACCAAUUGCGAAGGCAGCUUUCUGGAUCAUUACUGACACUGAGGAACGAAAGCAUGGGUAGCGAAGAGGAUUAGAUACCCUCGUAGUCCAUGCCGUAAACGAUGUGUGUUAGACGUUGGAAAUUAAUUUUUAGUGUCGCAGCGAAAGCAAUAAACACACCGCCUGGGGAGUACGACCGCAAGGUUAAAACUCAAAUGAAUUGACGGGGACCCGCACAAGUAGUGGAGCAUGUGGUUUAAUUCGAAGAUACGCGCAGAACCUUACCAACACUUGACAUGUUCGUCGCGACUCUAAGAGAUUAGAGUUUUCGGUUCGGCCGGACGAAACACAGGUGCUGCAUGGCUGUCGUCAGCUCGUGUCGUGAGAUGUUGGGUUAAGUCCCGCAACGAGCGCAACCCUCACUUUUAGUUGCCAUCAUUUAGUUGGGCACUCUGAAAGAACUGCCAGUGAUAAGCUGGAGGAAGGUGGGGAUGACGUCAAGUCCUCAUGGCCCUUACGUGUUGGGCUACACACGUGCUACAAUGGCAUUUACAAUAGGAAGCAAGAUGGCGACGUCGAGCAAAUCCUAAAAAGAUGCCUCAGUUCGGAUUGUACUCUGCAACUCGAGUACAUGAAGCUGGAAUUACUAGUAAUCGCGGAUCAGCGCGC